rnacentral:rRNA from 1 species
AAUGGAGGAAACUCUGAUGCAGCAACGCCGCGUGGAGGACGAAGGUUUUCGGAUUGUAAACUCCUGUCUUUUGGGACGAUAAUGACGGUACCAAAAGAGGAAGCCACGGCUAACUACGUGCUAGCAGCCGCGGUAAUACGUAGGUGGCGAGCGUUGUCCGGAAUUACUGGGCGUAAAGGGUGCGUAGGUGGUUUUUUAAGUCAGAAGUGAAAGGCUACGGCACAACCGGAGUAAGCUUUUGAAACUAGAGAACUUGAGUGCAGGAGAGGAGAGUAGAAUUCCUAGUGUAGCGGUGAAAUGCGUAGAUAUUAGGAGGAAUACCAGUAGCGAAGGCGGCUCUCUGGACUGUAACUGACACUGAGGCACGAAAGCGUGGGGAGCAAA